rnacentral:rRNA from 1 species
UACGUAGGGUGCAAGCGUUGCCCGGAUUUAUUGGGCGUAAAGGGCGCGCAGGCGGCUACGCACGUCCGUUGUGAAAUCGCUCGGCUCAACUGGGCGGGGUCAGCGGAUACGGCGUAGCUGGAGCAAGCUAGGGGGCAAUGGAAUUCCCGGUGUAGUGGUGGAAUGCGUAGAUAUCGGGAGGAACACCAGUGGCGAAGGCGGGUUGCUGGGCUGACACUGACGCUGAGGCGCGAAAGCUAGGGGAGCGAACGGG